GAGCUUGCUUUUUAAGCUUAGUGGCGAACGGGUGAGUAACGCGUGAGUAACCUGCCCUGGAGUGGGGGACAACAGUUGGAAACGACUGCUAAUACCGCAUAAGCCCACGGAUCCGCAUGGAUCUGCGGGAAAAGGAUUUAUUCGCUUCAGGAUGGACUCGCGUCCAAUUAGCUAGUUGGUGAGGUAACGGCCCACCAAGGCGACGAUUGGUAGCCGGACUGAGAGGUUGAACGGCCACAUUGGGACUGAGACACGGCCCAGACUCCUACGGGAGGCAGCAGUGGGGGAUAUUGCACAAUGGGGGAAACCCUGAUGCAGCGACGCCGCGUGGAGGAAGAAGGUUUUCGGAUUGUAAACUCCUGUCGUUAGGGACGAUAAUGACGGUACCUAACAAGAAAGCACCGGCUAACUACGUGCCAGCAGCCGCGGUAAAACGUAGGGUGCAAGCGUUGUCCGGAAUUACUGGGUGUAAAGGGAGCGCAGGCGGACCGGCAAGUUGGAAGUGAAAACUAUGGGCUCAACCCAUAAAUUGCUUUCAAAACUGCUGGCCUUGAGUAGUGCAGAGGUAGGUGGAAUUCCCGGUGUAGCGGUGGAAUGCGUAGAUAUCGGGAGGAACACCAGUGGCGAAGGCGACCUACUGGGCACCAACUGACGCUGAGGCUCGAAAGCAUGGGUAGCAAACAGG
rnacentral:rRNA from 1 species